rnacentral:rRNA from 1 species
CCUACGGGCGGCAGCAGUGGGGAAUAUUGGACAAUGAGGGGAACCCUGAUCCAGCCAUGCCGCGUGUGUGAAGAAGGCCCUCGGGUUGUAAAGCACUUUCAGUGAGGAAGAACGCCUGGUGGUUAAUACCCAUCAGGAAAGACAUCACUCACAGAAGAAGCACCGGCUAACUCCGUGCCAGCAGCCGCGGUAAUACGGAGGGUGCGAGCGUUAAUCGGAAUUACUGGGCGUAAAGCGCGCGUAGGUGGCUUGAUAAGCCGGUUGUGAAAGCCCCGGGCUCAACCUGGGAACGGCAUCCGGAACUGUCAAGCUAGAGUGCAGGAGAGGAAGGUAGAAUUCCCGGUGUAGCGGUGAAAUGCGUAGAGAUCGGGAGGAAUACCAGUGGCGAAGGCGGCCUUCUGGACUGACACUGACACUGAGGUGCGAAAGCGUGGGUAGCAAACAGGAUUAGAUACCCUGGUAGUC